UACGGAGGGUGCAAGCGUUAUCCGGAUUCACUGGGUUUAAAGGGUGCGUAGGUGGGUCUGUAAGUCCGUGGUGAAAUCUCCGAGCUUAACUUGGAAACUGCCAUGGAUACUAUAGGUCUUGAAUACUGUGGAGGUCAGCGGAAUAUGUCAUGUAGCGGUGAAAUGCUUAGAUAUGACAUAGAACGCCAAUUGCGAAGGCAGCUGGCUACACAAAUAUUGACACUGAGGCACGAAAGCGUGGGGAGCAAACAGG
rnacentral:rRNA from 1 species